rnacentral:rRNA from 1 species
AACGAACGCUGGCGGCAUGCCUAACACAUGCAAGUCGAACGAGACCUUCGGGUCUAGUGGCGCACGGGUGCGUAACGCGUGGGAAUCUGCCCUUGGGUUCGGAAUAACAGUUGGAAACGACUGCUAAUACCAGAUGAUGACGUAAGUCCAAAGAUUUAUCGCCCAAGGAUGAGCCCGCGUAGGAUUAGCUAGUUGGUGAGGUAAAGGCUCACCAAGGCGACGAUCCUUAGCUGGUCUGAGAGGAUGAUCAGCCACACUGGGACUGAGACACGGCCCAGACUCCUACGGGAGGCAGCAGUGGGGAAUAUUGGACAAUGGGCGAAAGCCUGAUCCAGCAAUGCCGCGUGAGUGAUGAGGGCCUUAGGGUUGUAAAGCUCUUUUACCCGGGAUGAUAAUGACAGUACCGGGAGAAUAAGCUCCGGCUAACUCCGUG